UACAGAGGUCCCGAGCGUUGUUCGGAUUCACUGGGCUUAAAGGGCGCGUAGGCGGGUGCUCAAGUCCGUGGUGAAAUCCUCCGGCUCAACCGGAGAACUGCCUCGGAUACUGGGCGUCUCGAGUGUGGUAGGGGUAUGCGGAACUAUCGGUGGAGCGGUGAAAUGCGUUGAUAUCGAUAGGAACUCCGGUGGCGAAGGCGGCAUACUGGACCACCACUGACGCUGAUGCGCGAAAGCCAGGGGAGCAAACGGG
rnacentral:rRNA from 1 species